ACGCUUGUUUAGCGCAAUGCUGCCCCUUCAGGUUAAGUAGUGGGUGACAUCAGUCGUCGCUGAUUGGACGAAAGAACUGGUCCGUCCUUUGAACCGGAAAGAGUCACAAUUCGCCACUAAAGCCCCUUUUCCACAGUUUCGGUGCGGUUCAGGUCUGCUCAGUUCGGAUCGGAUAUGCGGCGUUCUGGCCUGCGAAGCAGCGAGCCAUCUGUGACGAUCUGUUCCACCGGUCUCACUGCGACAACAACGCAAACCUUUCCAAAAAAUCUCCAAAAAAUCUACAGAACACCGGUCUUCCCCGGAGGAGCAGCGGCUGCUUUCCAUCACUGCAGAGGAGGUUCAACGGAACCGAACGGUGCCGUUGGAAAUGGAAAAAAGGGGAAAAAAUCACCGCAAAUGGGAAAAAAGGGGAAAAAAACACCGUCGUCUCCGAGUGGCUGCUCUCUAUCGGCUCCAGACCCGGUCAGCACCGCGCAAAAUGCCAGAAACUGAGGAGAGGCUGUGUGGACUGUGGCUGAGAUGGAGCUGAUGUUUUCGCAGGAGGACAGGAAUCGUCCUCCUCUGGGCCCAGGGGUGGAGGAGAGAGAUGUAGCGUCGUCAGGAUGGAGCAUCCACCUCCAGCCGGACUCUCCUGUGUUAUGAAGCUCCAGCAGCUGACUGCGGAGGAGGCUGGAGCACCAACCAGACCUGACGGAGCCCCUGAGAGAAAUUCAGGCUUUAGGUGAGCUGGGAGCUGCAGCGUGACAAACGGCAGGUCCAUCAGGAGGAGCAGCAGGAGGAGCGGCGUCUGAACCUGCAGUUCCUUGAAGAUGAAGCAGGGCAGUGAGGCUGAAUCAGGCUGAUUUGGCCUCUCAGCAGCAGCAGAGCCAGGCCUUCAGAUGUCCCUGCAGCGGGUCUCUCUGCAGGUCCAGACCCCGAGAACCCAGCGCUACACAGGAGUAACUCAACAACUAGUGGUGUCGAUGUCCUUUCCAAUAAAAACCGU